rnacentral:rRNA from 1 species
UACGUAGGGGGCAAGCGUUGUCCGGAAUUAUUGGGCGUAAAGAGCGUGUAGGCGGUUCGGUAAGUCUGUCGUGAAAUCCUGAGGCUCAACCUCGGGCGUGCGAUGGAUACUGCCGGGCUAGAGGGUGGUAGAGGCGAGUGGAAUUCCCGGUGUAGCGGUGAAAUGCGCAGAUAUCGGGAGGAACACCAGUAGCGAAGGCGGCUCGCUGGGCCACACCUGACGCUGAGACGCGAAAACUAGGGGAGCGAACAGG